CCAGAAGUCCAAAACCGAGGUGUGGGCUGAGCGGCGCUCCCUUGGUAGGGUCCGGGGAGGGUUCUUCCUGCCUACAUUGCUCCAACCCCUGUCUCCAUCUUCACACGGCCUCUCCUCUGUGUCUCUCUGUCCAAAUUUCCCUCUUCUUAUAGGGACACCAGCCGUGGAAUUAGGGGCCCACCCCCCCCUACUCCACUAUGACCUCGUCUCGGCUAAUUAUAUCUGCAAAGACCCUGCUUCUAAAUAAGUCACAUUCUGAGGUUCUGGCGGGUGUGAAUUUGGGGGACAUUCCUCAACCCCAAAGCACAGGCAUUGAGCUCCAGAGAGGACCAACUGAGGCGAAAUCUUCAGCCUCAGCGGCGAAGGCACCGGGUGCUCCUGCUCGAUGGGCAGACGGCCACCCCCUGGUCGGAGGCCAUCAGGGAAAUGGUCCCAGGCCCCUGGGGUCCCAGCCCAGACCUCCUCCACUGUGUGACCUUGGGCAAGCCCCUCAGACUCUCUGGGCCCAUAUCCUCCUCCGUGAGGUGGAGGAAGACGGCAGUAACCAGGAGGAGCACGGACCAGCCCGAACUGCACCCAACAGACCAGUGGCUCUGGCUCUGAGCCCCCCGGCCUCUCCAGCCACUGGGACAGAGGCCAGCCCCGAGUCCAGGACCCAGGGCCUGGAGACCACCGCUCCUGCCCAGACUAUGGGCCGGGGUCGAGGGGCAGCCCCUGCCUCCCCCACAGAGGGGCCUCCCUCUGCCGCCCAGGAGGGCAGAAUUCUCCCCAGGCUCCACACAAGGAAACUGAGGCCAGAGGUAGGUGUGUGGCCUGAGCCCCUUCUCUCCCGCCCAGGAAGAGGGACCCCCACCCCUGCUCCCACCUGGCAGCCGGCGGCCCUGGGCACCUACCUGCCUGCUUUCUCCCCGGCGCCCUGACAUGCAGCCACUGGCCAAGGAGCAGUGGAGGCUGCCC
rnacentral:lncRNA from 1 species